rnacentral:rRNA from 1 species
AACAAAAACAUGUCUUUUUGAUUAUAAUUUAAAGUCUAACCUGCCCAAUGAAUAAUUUGAAUGGCCGCGGUAUUUUGACCGUGCUAAGGUAGCAUAAUAAUUAGUUUUUUAAUUGAAAACUGGUAUGAAUGGUUGAACGAGGAAAAAUCUGUCUCAAUUUAAUUUAAUUAGAAUUUUAUUUUUAAGUAAAAAAGCUUAAAUAAUUUUAAAAGACGAGAAGACCCUAUAGAGUUUUAUAAUUAAUUAUUAAUUAGAUUAUUAGGAUUAUUUUUUUAAUUUUUAAUUGAUUAUUUUGUUGGGGUGACAAAAAAAUUUAAUAAACUUUUUUUAUAUAUUUUCAUUGAUUUAUGAAUAAAUGAUCCAUUUUUUAUGAUUAUAAGAUUAAAUUACCUUAGGGAUAACAGCGUAAUUUUUUUUAAGAGUUCUAUCGA